rnacentral:rRNA from 1 species
UGGGAACGUACCCUUCGGCGGGGGAUAGCCGGCCCAACGGCCGGGGUAAUACCGCGUACGACCACUUGGGGACAUCCCCGGGUGGUGAAAGCAGCAAUGCGCCGAUGGAGUGCCUCGCGGCCUAUCAGCUAGUUGGUGAGGUAACGGCUCACCAAGGCGACGACGGGUAGCUGGUCUGAGAGGAUGGCCAGCCACAUUGGGACUGAGACACGGCCCAGACUCCUACGGGAGGCAG